CUCUGUUUCUGCAGAGCUAUUCGAUCUUCUUGGUUCGUUCUUCCAAGAACACGGCUUCGUCCUUCUCCGGAAAUCUUCAUCACCGUAAGAUUCAACUUCAACAUCCAUCUGGUUCUGCGUUUAUCAUUUGCGCUCAAGGAAGAUCGUGCGCUAAGGGAUUAUGUCUCUGAGAUUGACGUCAUGUUUCACGGACGAAGAGAUCAAGACUCUUCCUUUUUUACCAAGACGUCACAGAAUGUUCUUUCUUUGCGCUUCAUACGUGCAAGGUUUUAGCUGCCUGGGGAGUCUACAUGGAGGCAGUGGUUGAUGGGUAUUCUUCAAGUCAGUGGUGGCAGAUAAUCUGGUUGUGUAAUCUAUUGUAACCAGGACCGAAAUGGGAUAUAAUUGUGAUGAUAGAUGAGUGAAAUGUACUGGGAUAAAGAAGCCCUUAUGCAGGGGGUUUGAGCCCCGGUUUUGUCAUCCGACCUUUGCCAUGACAGGUGCGCUUGCAUGGCAGGUCACACAAAUCUUAAUAAAAUUUCUCUUUUGGUGGUUUUGAGGGGAGUUCGCACGGGAUAGUCCGGGUUCUCCCCUCUGUGUGUGGUGCGUCUGCUCUCCUUUUCAUUGCUUCUAUCUCUUUUCAUUAAAUCUGCUACGAUCGUCCUAAUGCACCCCUGUGCAUGUGCUUGGAUUCAUGAACUUGUUACUAUCUACCCCCAUGCACCAUAUCGGUUGGAUUCAUAAACCUGAUACUAUUUCCGGAUGCACUUGAGUGUUGGAUUCGUAACCAUCUCAGCUGGAUAAGGCCUUAAAUCCAUUCCAUAAUCAGAUCUUGUUGCACUAACGCAUUCUGCACUUCUACUUGAAAGAUCUGGAGGUAAAUUUCUGCCAAAUUUUAACCUUUAUAUAGAGUACUUUGUCCAACUAUGGAAAAAAAUGGGCAUACGGCAUAUAUUAGAUCCUAUUUUAACGUUUUUAUCUGUAUUUGUUGGCCUUUUGAUUAGCAUGAGGUUUUCUUAACAACUAUCCCCCACUACAGUUAUGUAUGCCAAGACAUUCAUAUUCACACAAUAUUCUCCAACAAAUUGAUCAUCUCAAAUAUUGGUCAACACUAAAUUAAACCUAAUAGAUAAGCUUUUGUGCUUUAUAGAACUGCUUGUUACAAACUAAUCUUCACGGAAAACGCCCGAUUUGGUAUUAUCUCAGCUCAUUUAAAUUUGGAUUCAUUGUGUGAAUGUUGCACCAUUGUGAUUGUAGUUUAUGGUUCUUGAUUACAUGUGGUCUACCCAUGAAAAUGUAGCUUGUAACAUUGUAAGCAUUCUGCUCUUAAGUCAUUGGUUACUUUUAUGGGAUAUAAAUCAACUAUAUUGCGGCUUCAUAUUAUUGGUUGAAUUUCCGUUGGAGCUUGAUAGGUACCUGAAUAUGGUGGCUAGCAAACCUCCAAUUCCGAUGGCUUCCAGAGGCUCAAUGAACUCCCCUCAGCUGGUCCCAGGUUUUAGCAUUCUGCUCUUGGUUACUUUUUUGGGAUAUAAAUCAACUAUAUUGCGGCUUCAUAUUAUUGGCUGAAUUUCCGUUGGAGCUUGAUAGGUACCUGAAUAUGGUGGCUAGCAAACCUCCAAUUCUGAUGGCUUCCAGAGGCUCAAUGAACUACCAUUAGUUGGUCCCUUUCUAGGUCGAGUUUACGAUCAAACCAGCCCACAGCAAACUACAGCAGCAACUCACAAACAAACAGAAAGGAAAAUGAGUAAAACAGCGGCAAUUGGUUCAGCCUUGAUACUCGAAGAACUUCACAAUUUAUGAACACAAGGAAUAUUGACGCAAAAGAAGAAAACAACAUCAUAUUGCAUUCAAAGAGCUUUAGAAAUAAUAGCCGUUACAGUAGCCAUCAGAGUAUGUAAUUGUAACUGAAAAUGGAAACAACUGAAGGAAAAGGAAAAAUAGCUAAGCUGGGUGUAAUAUAAAAUAUUGAUUCAAUAAAAUGAUUUCUUUCUUCA